rfam:Vitrella brassicaformis CCMP3155 genome assembly, contig: scaffold16
GCCCGUAUGGCCAAGCGGUAAGGCGUCGCACUUGUAAUGCGAAGAUCGUGAGUUCGAUCCUCACUGUGGGCU